GUUCUUGCCUUUGAGGAAGGCAGACUUGAAGAGGAAAGCCAUGAGGAGUCCUGAGGAGUCCCCUGGAAAGAAGAAGAGAGAAGACAAGGGGGAUACUCCCAGGAAGAAAAGGCAAUGAGACAAAACAUUCCCAACAAAAUACUUCCAGAUUUCAGCCCACAAAGGCUCCAAUCAACUGAAAGCAUCAGAAGACUCAUUCUAAAUGGAGAGAGAAAAUGUGUUGCUGCCACCACUGCCGGCCAUGACUGCUGUACAACG